rnacentral:rRNA from 1 species
UACGGGGGGGGCAAGCGUUGUUCGGAAUUACUGGGCGUAAAGGGCUCGUAGGCGGCCAACUAAGUCCGACGUGAAAUCCCCAGGCUUAACCUGGGAACUGCGUCGGAUACUGGAUGGCUUGAAUUCGGGAGAGGGAUGCAGAAUUCCAGGUGUAGCGGUGAAAUGCGUAGAUAUCUGGAGGAAUACCGGUGGCGAAGGCGGCAUCCUGGACCGACAUUGACGCUGAGGCGCGAAAGCUAGGGGAGCAAACGGG